CCUACGGGUGACAGCAGUGAGGAAUAUUGGUCAAUGGACGAGAGCCUGAACCAGCCAAGUCGCGUGCAGGAUGAAGGAUCUAUGGUUUGUAAACUGCUUUUAUAUGGGGAUAAAGUGAGAAACGUGUUCCUUUUUGUAUGUACCAUAUGAAUAAGCAUCGGCUAACUCCGUGCCAGCAGCCGCGGUAAUACGGAGGAUGCGAGCGUUAUCCGGAUUUAUUGGGUUUAAAGGGUGCGUAGGUGGUUAAUUAAGUCAGCGGUGAAAGUGUGAGGCUCAACCAUAAAAUUGCCGUUGAAACUGGUUGACUUGAGUAUAUUUGAGGUAGGCGGAAUGCGUGGUGUAGCGGUGAAAUGCAUAGAGAUCACGCAGAACUCCGAUUGCGAAGGCAGCUUACUAAACUACAACUGACAUUGAAGCACGAAAGCGUGGGGAGCAAACAGGAUUAGAUACCCUGGUAGUC
rnacentral:rRNA from 1 species